rnacentral:misc_RNA from 1 species
GAUGAAGAACGCAGCGAAAUGCGAUAAGUAAUGUGAAUUGCAGAAUUCAGUGAAUCAUCGAAUCUUUGAACGCACAUUGCGCCCGCCAGUAUUCUGGCGGGCAUGCCUGUCUGAGCGUCAUUUCAACCCUCAAGCAACUUCUGCUUGGUGUUGGGGAUCGGCCGUCAAACGCCGCCCCCGAAAUCUAUUGGCGAUCUCGCUGUAGCUUCCUAUGCGUAGUAGUAACAUCUCGCAUCUGGAGAGCGGCGCGGUCAUGCCGUAAAACACCCAACUUCUCAGGUUGACCUCGGAUCAGGUAGGAAUACCCGCUGAACUUAAGCAUAUCAAAAGCGGAGGA